AUUGAACGCUAGCGGGAUGCCUUACACAUGCAAGUCGAACGAGUGGCGGACGGGUGAGUAAUAUAUAGGAACGUGCCCAGUAGCGGGGGAUAACUCCUCGAAAAGGUGGCUAAUACCGCAUAACCUUGGAGCGGCCGAUAUCGGAUUAGCUAGUUGGUUGGGUAAAGGCUCACCAAGGCAACGAUCCGUAGCUGGUUUGAGAGGACGACCAGCCACACUGGGACUGAGACACGGCCCAGACUCCUACGGGAGGCAGCAGUGGGGAAUAUUGGACAAUGGGGGAAACCCUGAUCCAGCCAUCCCGCGUGUAUGAGAAGGCCUUCGGGUUGUAAAGUACUUUUGGCAGAGAAGCGGUAUCUGCAGAAUAAGCACCGGCUAACUACGUGCCAGCAGCCGCGGUAAUAC
rnacentral:rRNA from 1 species